GCACUGGUGGUUCACUGGUAGAAUUCUCACCUUCCAUGCAGGAGACCUGGGUUAAAUUCCCAGCCAACGCA
rnacentral:tRNA from 1 species